ensembl:lncRNA
GGGAAAGAAGAGCUUACAUCCCAGCCCGUUACCUGCCUCCUCCCUCCAGAGAGCCACAUGCAUUGUGCUGAUCCAGAGACAUGCACAAGAACUCUCUGCUCACUUUGUUGCACGUGCACAACCUCAGCUGCGGCUGGAAAAAGUGCUUUACUCCAUGACAGCGCUGGCUGGAAGCCUCUCCACGUAUGCAGAGAGAGAGAGGCUGUCACAUGCGUUGGUGAUUUGCCAUGGGGAAGUCUGAGGCCAUCCCCAUCCCUUCAGCUUUGGGGUAGUUGGUAGAAGCUGAUCAUAGUGAGAGCGAGCUGCGCUGGCAUCACAAGGUGCAAGCAAAGUAAUAGGUAGAAGCAGCCCAGCAGAAACAAGUAAUUUCUGAGAGAAGUCCUCAGAACUUGCCUCUGAGUCAUCUCCACGUUGGCAGGAGAAACUGGCAAAGAGGAAAAGUGUCUCUGCAGGUAAUGCUGCUGCAAAGGCCCAGAAUUAAGAGGCUCAGCCAAGUGAACACAUCCAGCCCCUAAGACAGACCUCGUCGUACUCUGAAGGAGCUGAAACAGAAAGCCGUUUUUACGGUUAUGAGGUCGGUGAAGAAAUGACACAAAGUCUUACGCUUCUUUUGCCUAUAUCCACACAUACUAUAUACUCGGCUAGAGCAAAACUCAGGUGAAAUCCUGGCUGUCCCUGCUGGAGAAGCCUCCGCUCAGCCACCUGCUGCAGGCUGGCUGGCAAGGGCCUGGCGCAGAGCUCGGGCAGAGGCAGUGAGUCACAGCCACUUCUGCUCAGUAAUUGCAGCCUGCAGAGGCAGCAGCAGCAGGCGGUGCACUGCUCACGCUUUGUCUGGUGAGGAAGUAGCUGUACCCCUGCCAUGAGAGCUACCCCGUCCCUCCAGAGCCUGGGCUGCUCCUCUCCAGGCUUCAGGACAGGGCAGGGCCCUGCGGCACUGUGCAGGAGCCGCCUCUCACCUUCGUGAGAUGGGGAUUGCAAUUAGUCCUGGCCCUUUGCUUGUGCCAUCUGUCUGCUCCCCGAACAUCCCUGCAGGAUCUGUGUCUUAGCAGGUUAAUUUAAUAACCGCCUGCUUUAUUGCUGCUGGCCGUGGGCAUGGCACGGAGCAGCUGAGUACGUCAACAGCAAAGAGCAGGAAUCAAAUGCUGCCCAGAUGCUCAUUUAGGUUUGUUUUGCUGAGGGAGCGCGAACCCUCCCAUGGGCCGAGCCCUGCGUCGUUCUCCUUGGCAAGAGAUGGGUAAAAAGCAGCAGUGGAGAUUAAACCAGGCCACGGAGCCACGGAGCGCUACACCUGAGAGGUAUGGCGAGGUGAGGACAGCACGGGAGCGGCAGAAAGGUGUUGUUGGCUGGAGGUGAGUGCGCGGCGCAGGGCUUGGCCACCGACAGAAGCAGCAGCCGUUCUUACCCAGAGCAUCAGCAGCAAUUUUUGUGGCUGCAGAGCACGGCAGCACGGAGCCCAGUGAGUCAGCCCUGCACACCGAUACAGGCAACGACUGCACUUCGACCUCCACCUCUCGCACAGAAACGAUCCGCAAAGCAUCAAGUGCUGGGAGCUGGGAAGGAAACCUCACAGACCCCAAACCGG